rnacentral:RNase_P_RNA from 1 species
UGCGGCGGCACAGAUGAUCGCGUGCGUUUGUACGAGGAAAGUCCGAACUCCGCAGGGCAGGAUGCCGGGUAACGCCCGGUGGGGGGUCACUCCCCUAAGGAAAGUGCCACAGAAAAUAUACCGCCUGCAUGCAGGUAAGGGUGAAAAGGUGCGGUAAGAGCGCACCGGGGCGCUGGCAACAGGGCUCGCAUGGUAAACCCCAUCUGGAGCAAGGCCAAACAGGAAGGUGUUGACCUUCGGGUCAAUAAGGGUCGCCCGCUCUCGACUUCCGGGUAGGCCGCUUGAGACGGCCGGCAACGGUCGCCCUAGAUGAAUGAUCGUCGCCCGGGUGCUGGUGACAGCGCCAUGGGAACAGAAUUCGGCUUAUGGGCCGCCGCAACAC